CGAGAACCGGGCCUUCGGGCCUGGGGAAAGCGGCGAACGGGUGAGUAACACGUGGGUAACCCACCCUUGGUACUGGGAUAGCCCGGGGAAACCCGGAUUAAUACCGGAUGGCCCAACAGCUCUUCGGGGCGGUUGGAAAAGGUAGCUUCGGCCUCCGACCAAGGACGGGCCCGCGGCGGAUUAGCUUGUUGGUGGGGUAAUGGCCCACCAAGGCGACGAUCCGUAGCUGGUCUGAGAGGACGAUCAGCCACACUGGGACUGAGACACGGCCCAGACUCCUACGGGAGGCAGCAGUGGGGAAUCUUGCGCAAUGGGCGAAAGCCUGACGCAGCGACGCCGCGUGGGGAAGAAGGCUUUCGGGUUGUAAACCCCUUUCAGGAAGGACGAAGCCACUCGGGUGAAUAGCCCAGAGGGUGACGGUACUUCCAGAAGAAGCCCCGGCUAACUACGUGCCAGCAGCCGCGGUAAUACGUAGGGGGCAAGCGUUGUCCGGAUUUAUUGGGCGUAAAGAGCGUGUAGGCGGUUUGGUAGGUCCGCUGUGAAAACUCGAGGCUCAACCUCGAGACGCCGGUGGAAACCAUCAGGCUAGAGUCCGGAAGAGGAGAGUGGAAUUCCUGGUGUAGCGGUGAAAUGCGCAGAUAUCAGGAAGAACACCCGUGGCUAAGGCGGCUCUCUAGUACGGUACUGACGCUGAGACGCGAAAGCGUGGGGAGCGAACAGGAUUAGAUACCCUGGUAGUCCACGCCGUAACGAUGGGUGCUAGGUGUAGGGGGUGUCGACUCCCUCUGUGCCGAAACUAACGCAUUAAGCACCCCGCCUGGGAGUACGGCCGCAGGCUAAACUCAAAG
rnacentral:rRNA from 1 species